AGAGAGCGAAAUUCAAAAUGAAAGCUGAUUCUUCCAAUUCUAUUUGAAUCAAAGUAUUGUAAAUAAAGUGUAGAGGCUACUCCAGGUGAUGACCAAGCUAGGAACUACACAAAUAAGGAGAUCGGAUACAAACAAACUUCUAGGGCACAAGAUAGUAAAGAAUUCAACAACAAGUGAGACAAAGAUUUGUUACCGGAGUUCACUCUCACUAAGAGAGCUAUGUCUCCAUUGAGGAGCU
rnacentral:lncRNA from 1 species